rnacentral:rRNA from 1 species
UACGAAGGGGGCUAGCGUUGCUCGGAAUUACUGGGCGUAAAGGGCGCGUAGGCGGAUACUUAAGUUAGAGGUGAAAGCCCAGGGCUCAACCCUGGAACAGCCUUUAAUACUGGGUAUCUUGAGUUCGGGAGAGGUGAGUGGAACUCCGAGUGUAGAGGUGAAAUUCGUAGAUAUUCGGAAGAACACCAGUGGCGAAGGCGACUCACUGGCCCGAUACUGACGCUGAGGCGGCGAAAGCGUGGG